AGUGAACGCUGGCGGUAGGCCUAACACAUGCCAGUCGAACGGCAGCACAGUAAGAGCUUGCUCUUACGGGUGGCGAGUGGCGGACGGGUGAGGAAUACAUCGGAAUCUACUUUUUCGUGGGGGAUAACGUAGGGAAACUUACGCUAAUACCGCAUACGACCUACGGGUGAAAGCAGGGGAUCUUCGGACCUUGCGCGAUUGAAUGAGCCGAUGUCGGAUUAGCUAGUUGGCGGGGUAAAGGCCCACCAAGGCGACGAUCCGUAGCUGGUCUGAGAGGAUGAUCGGCCACACUGGAACUGGGACACGGUCCAGACUCCUACGGGAGGCAGCAGUGGGGAAUAUUGGACAAUGGGCGCAAGCCUGAUCCAGCCAUACCGCGUGGGUGAAGAAGGCCUUCGGGUUGUAAAGCCCUUUUGUUGGGAAAGAAAAGCAGCAGGUUAAUACCCCGCUGUUCUGACGGUACCCAAAGAAUAAGCACCGGCUAACUUCGUG
rnacentral:rRNA from 1 species